rnacentral:rRNA from 1 species
UACGUAGGGGGCAAGCGUUGUCCGGAAUCAUUGGGCGUAAAGAGCGUGUAGGCGGCCCGGUAAGUCGGUUGUGAAAGUCAAGGGCUCAACCCUUGAAAGCCGACCGAUACUGUCGGGCUAGAGUCCGGAAGAGGCGAGUGGAAUUCCUGGUGUAGCGGUGAAAUGCGCAGAUAUCAGGAGGAACACCGAUGGCGAAGGCAGCUCGCUGGGACGGUACUGACGCUGAGACGCGAAAGCGUGGGGAGCAAACAGG